UAUGUACGGUACGGCAUUAUUAAACGAAUUUAGAAAAAGAAUGAUCCCAAAACAAUACUGUAAAGACUAUUAGUAUAUGAUAUGAAGUCCACGUCAUGCCAGUUAGACUCCCACGGCACCCACAGACCGCAGUUAUCCUUUUAUCAAAAUAUAUAUAUACAUACAGAGAGAGAGAGAGAGAGAGAGAGAGAGAGAGCCACAGAGGUGCAGAGCGAAGGGAAGACGCCGUUUGAUUUGGAUUUGGUGUGUGGAUUCGGAUUCGAUUUACGAGUUGGAAGUUGGAAGUGGAAUUUGUUGAGUUAGAGAGAGGGUAAGAGGAAAGGAUGCUGGAGUUUUUCGUGCUUGGGUGUGCAGGAAUCGUGGUGUUUCUCCACGGGGUCAAUUUCUUCUUCCACGCCUUGGCUUCCAAUCUCGCGAUGCGCCAUGUCAGUUUCUUGGGAGUGGCUGCUGCUUGGUGAAUGAUGCCAACCAAUAAUUCAAAUGAGAGGGAGGAGACAACACAUUCCUGCCACUCCCCUUGUAAAUAUAUAUUUUUAUAUAUAUGUAUGUAUCAAGAUUAGCUUAUAUCAAUGAUCAAGGCAAAUCUUGCCCAUCUGUGUA